rnacentral:rRNA from 1 species
UACGAAGGGGGCUAGCGUUGUUCGGAAUUAUUGGGCGUAAAGGGCGCGUAGGCGGUGCGGUAAGUCUGUAGUGAAAUCUCUGGGCUCAACUCAGAGUCUGCUGCAGAAACUGCCGUGCUUGAGUGUGGGAGAGGUGAGUGGAAUUCCCGGUGUAGCGGUGAAAUGCGUAGAUAUUGGGAAGAACACCGGUGGCGAAGGCGGCUCACUGGCUCAUUACUGACGCUCAGGCGCGAUAGCGUGGGGAUCAAACAGG